CGCGGCCGUUCUUCCGGAGGGUAAGCUGCGUAGGUUUGUAGGCCGUUUCCUUCGCCUGUUCCGAGGACCACCUGGACGGUGCAUUGUUAGCCUCUGAUGCGGAUCUCCAGACUCUAUGUGCCACUCCGAGAUAAUGUCAGUCUGUGGGAUGGGAGUAAUUUGAGAAACACCAGGAACUCCCGAGAUUGUCAGAGCUAAGUGGACAGCAAUACAGUUUCCAGAUUCGGGUCAACAAGUUUGAUGGCUCUGCAGGUUUCUUUGUGUCCCCCCCCCUUUUCCUCCAGCCUCUUUUUAAAGUCCUCCCUUCAGUCUCUGGGGACAUUCUCCAAAUUGGCUCCUGGAGACUCGUCGCCAGGCCUGGAAAUAAAGCCUUUGCUACCUAAA